UAAAAUUUUAAUCUAAUAUACAAUUAGACUAACAAUGCGAUCAAUAGUUGUAUCGGUUUUUUUGCUGGCAUUUAUUGUUUUGGUUUUAUUAAACAAUGAUUUGGUUUAUCCAAAGUCAUUGAAAGACAAACUGUUGUCGACUACUAAAACAUAUACCGUCUAUGACUUCAACAAAAAAUGGUCUAUAGGUUAUCAUAUGGUUGUCCACAACAACAACAACAACACCAACAGCACUGGUAUUAUUGAAUCAGUUGACUGUUUUCAAUGUUGGCCUCAACCUCCCUGUUCAAUCAUUUGCUGCAAUUAUACGGAUCCUAUUUGUUGUAUUAUUGACGGCCAAUGUCGGUGUUGUAAU